rnacentral:tRNA from 1 species
GCUCGCGGGGGCGCUGCGGGACGGCGCCGGGUGGUUCCUGGCCCCCGAGGCGAACUGCGACGAGGUCGUCGGGCACGUCCCGGACGGGCUGCGGGUC